rnacentral:rRNA from 1 species
UACGGAGGGUGCGAGCGUUGUCCGGAAUCACUGGGCGUAAAGGGCGCGUAGGCGGCCUGAUAAGUAGGGGGUGAAAUCUUGCGGCUUAACCGCAAGGCUGCCUUCUAAACUGUCAGGCUAGAGCACAGUAGAGGCAGGUGGAAUUCCCGGUGUAGCGGUGGAAUGCGUAGAGAUCGGGAAGAACAUCAGUGGCGAAGGCGGCCUGCUGGGCUGUUGCUGACGCUGAGGCGGCGACAGCGUGGGGGAGCAAACAGGA